AUUGAACGCUGGCGGCAGGCCUAACACAUGCAAGUCGAACGGUAACAGGAAGAAGCUUGCUUCUUUGCUGACGAGUGGCGGACGGGUGAGUAAUGUCUGGGAAACUGCCUGAUGGAGGGGGAUAACUACUGGAAACGGUAGCUAAUACCGCAUAACGUCGCAAGACCAAAAAGGGGGACCUUCGGGCCUCUUGCCAUCGGAUGUGCCCAGAUGGGAUUAGCUAGUAGGUGGGGUAACGGCUCACCUAGGCGACGAUCCCUAGCUGGUCUGAGAGGAUGACCAGCCACACUGGAACUGAGACACGGUCCAGACUCCUACGGGAGGCAGCAGUGGGGAAUAUUGCACAAUGGGCGCAAGCCUGAUACAGCCAUGCCGCGUGUAUGAAGAAGGCCUUCGGGUUGUAAAGUACUUUCAGCGGGGAGGAAGGGAGUAAAGUUAAUACCUUUGCUCAUUGACGUUACCCGCAGAAGAAGCACCGGCUAACUCCGUG
rnacentral:rRNA from 1 species